CAGCAGCCACGGGAAUACGGAGGGAGCUAGCGUUGUUCGGAAUUACUGGGCGUAGAGCGCGCGUAGGCGGUUACUCAAGUCAGAGGCGAAAGCCCGGGGCUCAACCCCGGAACUGCCUUUGAAACUAGGUAACUAGAAUCUUGGAGAGGUCAGUGGAAUUCCGAGUGUAGAGGUGAAAUUCGUAGAUAUUCGGAAGAACACCAGUGGCGAAGGCGACUGACUGGACAAGUAUUGACGCUGAGGUGCGAAAGCGUGGGGAGCAAACAGGAUUAGAUACCCCCGUAGUCCCUGUCUCUUAUAC
rnacentral:rRNA from 1 species